rnacentral:rRNA from 1 species
GAUGAACGCUAGCGGCAGGCCUAACACAUGCGAGUCGAGGGAGGAGCUUUCGGGCUUCGACCGGCGUACGGGUGCGUAACGCGUAUACAAUCUGCCUUUCACAUAGGGAUAGCCCGAAGAAAUUUGGAUUAAUACCUAAUGGUAUAUAGAGGUGGCAUCACCUUUAUAUUAAAGCUGAGGCGGUGAAAGAUGGGUAUGCGUUCUAUUAGCUAGUUGGAGAGGUAACGGCUCCCCAAGGCGACGAUAGAUAGGGGUUCUGAGAGGGAUAUCCCCCACACUGGUACUGAGAUACGGACCAGACUCCUACGGGAGGCAGCAGUGAGGAAUAUUGGACAAUGGUCGGAAGACUGAUCCAGCCAUGCCGCGUGCAGGAAGACGGCCUUAUGGGUUGUAAACUGCUUUUGCAGGGGAAGAAUAAGGACUACGCGUAGUUUGAUGACGGUACUCUGCGAAUAAGCAUCGGCUAACUCCGUG